AAACUCUGAUGCAGCGACGCCGCGUGAGUGAUGAAGGACUUCGGUUUGUAAAGCUCUGUUCUCAGGGAAUAAAAAAAUGAAUGUACCUGAGGAGAAAGCACCGGCUAACUUCGUGCCAGCAGCCGCGGUAAUACGAAGGGUGCAAGCGUUGCUCGGAAUCAUUGGGCGUAAAGCGAGCGCGGGUGGUUUUGUAAGUCAGGAGUGAAAGCCCAGGGCUUAACCCUGGAAGUGCUUUUGAUACUGCAAAACUUGAGUGUGGGAGAGGAUGCUAGAAUUCCUGGUGUAGUGGUGAAAAUACGUAGAUAUCAGGAGGAACAUCGGUGGCGAAGGCGGGCAUCUGGCCCAACACUGACACUUAGGCUCGAAAGCGUGGGGAUCAAACAGGAUUAGAUACCCUGGUAGUCCACGCCGUAAACGAUGGAUACUUGUUGUUGGAGGUAUUGACCCCUUCAGUGACGAAGCUAACGCGUUAAGUAUCCCGCCUGGGAAGUACGGUCGCAAGAUUA
rnacentral:rRNA from 1 species